rnacentral:lncRNA from 1 species
UAAUUAUGGGUCCUUAAAGAUGUUAAUGAUUAAACACCAUUCUAGGUGCUAUUGAAGUACUUUCAGUUUUGAAGAAGUCGAGCUUUCGACGAAAGGUACUACGAGGAAACGCACACUUCAGCGAGGUGGGUAGAUAUGACAUGUUAAUUAUUUUGAUAUAAUAAAGCAUACCUAUUCUACAACCUCGCAUUAAAACUUAUUUCGAUAAAUUUUGCAAUGUGAAUGACGGUUUCAAGUUUGUUUGAUGAAAGCUAAGUAUAUUUUGUAAAUAUGUUUAUUAUGUACUUAGUUUUGAUCACAAGGAAUAGGCUUUGCAAAUGUUUGAUACCUCAAAAUUGAUAUUUGUCUUUAAUUAGUUGGAUGAUUGAUGAUUUAGAAAUUUGGGAUGAAAGAUGAUUAGUUUUUCAUAAAUCAUAGCAUUGGGCCAAUUUGUCUUUGAGAUAUUGAUAUAAUUGAUGACUUUGAUUUAGUUUUGCUUCGAUCUUUGGUUUUCUUUCAAUCUUUGAUUUUGUUGAUGAUUAUAUUCAUCCUUUGUUUGAAAAUGGACUUUGGAUACUAUGAUUUAGUUUUGUUUUGACCUUCUUGAACUUGGAUGGUGAGUGAAUGAAUCCACCCCUUCAUUUGGUAAUGAACAUUUGAAUAUUUGGAAACUCAUAAUGAAAAAUGUUUUAGUGGAGCCUACUUAAGUUAUGGACCUGUAGCUAGCAAUAAUAGCUGUUAGCCAUUGUGCACAAUGCUUAGUUUUGUUUUUUCUUUGUUCGAUAGUUGAUACGAUCAUGUCCCCCUUUGAUCUACGGUAAAUGACUAUGUUCUAGACCAUUUUGGUGUUAUGGCACACUUUGUUUUGAUUGUCCAUUCUAUCUAGCACUCCACAAUCUAUUUAAAGUUAUAUUUGACAUAUUUAGUUUGGUCUUUUGAUAUUUGUUUUGGCUUUGGUGUUUAGACCUUUGAUAUUUGUUUCAACUUUGGUGUUUAGACUUGAUUUAUUUGAUUAAGAACAGAUUAUGUUUAUUUGUGAAUUUAAUAGUCUUCAAAGGAUUUUCUAAAUGUAAUGAAUUUGUUUUAGAACUAAACUUUUGUACUCUUCGAAAUCUAUUCAAAUGUUUUCUUUUUAAAUUGAUUUUAAAUAUUCGUUUCCAUUGUAAUUCUUGAACGUUUUAUAAAUAAGUAAUUUCAUUUCAAAGGUUUAUGAAUGGGGUUUUAACGAAACUUUAUUUAAAUAUUCCAAAACAAAUUUGCAUUUUUUGAGACAAAGAUUUGAGAUUCUUGAAUGAUUGAUUGUGCUUGUCAUGUAAAUGUAACUUUGGAUAUUUGAUAUUGCUCAAAAAUUAAGCUCUUGAACUCUUUGGAUAUUUGAUAUGCUUGAAAUGCGGACUUCGAUAUUGUUUGGAAAUAGAUUAUUUGCAUUAUUUUGAAAGUAUCUUUGAUAAACACUCUCCCAUGUAGCUUGUUCCAUUUCCCCGUAUCUGUUCACGAAAUUAUUUUAUAACUUGCACAUGUAAGAUGAGUUUGUUGUUUCAGAUCAGUAGAUUGCUUGGCUAGCUGUCCUUUGGAAAGAGCUACUUUUAUUGUCAAUUUGGUAAGUGAUUGAUAAGGCAUCUAGUAAGUGUUAGCCACUUUGUUUUGAGUUGUACUCUACUGGUUUGUCUAUUAUGUUAGUCUCUCAUGG